GAAAUGCGAUAAGUAAUGUGAAUUGCAGAAUUCAGUGAAUCAUCGAAUCUUUGAACGCACAUUGCGCCCGCCAGUAUUCUGGCGGGCAUGCCUGUUCGAACGUCAUUUCCACCAUCAGGCCCCCGGGCCUGUGUUGGGGACCUGCGGCUGCCCGCAGGCCCCGAAAUUCAGUGGCGGUCGCGCCGUAGCAACCGAGCGUAGUAACUAAAACGUCUCGCUCUGGCUCGCUGGGCGCGCUCCGGCCGUAAAACACCCCCCCUUUUCGCAAAGGUUGACCUCGGAUCAGGUAGGAAUACCCGCUGAACUUAAGC
rnacentral:misc_RNA from 1 species